rnacentral:lncRNA from 1 species
UCACUGGCCAUCAGAGAAAUGCAAAUCAAAACCACAAUGAGAUACCAUCUCACACCAGUUAGAAUGGCAAUCAUUAAACAGUCAGGAAACAAAAGGUGCUGGAGAGGAUGUGGAGAAAUAAGUACACUUUUACACUGUUGGUGGGACUGUAAACUAGUUCAACCAUUGUGGAAGACAGUGUGGCGAUUCCUCAGGGAUCUAGAAUUAGAAAUACCAUUUGACCCAGCCAUC